rnacentral:rRNA from 1 species
CAGCCGCCGCGGUAAUACGGAGGGUGCAAGCGUUAAUCGGAAUUACUGGGCGUAAAGCGCACGCAGGCGGUCUGACAAGUCAGAUGUGAAAUCCCCGGGCUUAACCUGGGAACUGCAUUUGAAACUGUCAGGCUGGAGUCUUGUAGAGGGGGGUGGAAUUCCAGGUGUAGCGGUGAAAUGCGUAGAGAUCUGGAGGAAUACCGGUGGCGAAGGCGGCCCCCUGGACAAAGACUGACGCUCAGGUGCGAAAGCGUGGGGAGCAAACAGGAUUAGAGACCCCUGUAGUCCCUGUCUCUUAUAC